CAUGCAAGUCGUACGAGAGUUUUUAACUCAAGUGGCGGACGGGUGAGUAACACGUAAGAAUUUGCCUUUAGGAGGGGGACAACAACUGGAAACGGUUGCUAAUACCCCAUAUGCUUUCGAGUGAAAUGGAUUUUUCCGCCUAGAGAGAAGCUUGCGGCUGAUUAGCUUGUUGGUGAGGUAAUGGCUUACCAAGGCGACGAUCAGUAUCUGGCUUGAGAGGACGAUCAGACACACUGGAACUGAGACACGGUCCAGACUCCUACGGGAGGCAGCAGUGGGGAAUUUUCCGCAAUGGGCGAAAGCCUGACGGAGCAAUACCGCGUGAGGGAUGACGGCCUAUGGGUUGUAAACCUCUUUUUUCAGGGAGGAAUCAAAUGACGUGUACCUGAAGAAUAAGCAUCGGCUAACUCCGUGCCAGCAGCCGCGGUAAGACGGAGGAUGCAAGUGUUAUUCGGAAUCACUGGGCGUAAAGCGUCUGUAGGUGGUCAAAUAAGUCAACUGUUAAAUCUUGAGGCUCAACCUCAAAAUCGCAGUCGAAACUAUUAGACUAGAGUAUAGUAGGGGUAAAGGGAAUUUCCAGUGGAGCGGUGAAAUGCGUAG
rnacentral:rRNA from 1 species